rnacentral:rRNA from 1 species
UUCCAGACUCCUACGGGAGGCAGCAGUGGGGAAUAUUGCACAAUGGGGGGAACCCUGAUGCAGCGACGCCGCGUGAGGGAAGACGGUCUUCGGAUUGUAAACCUCUGUCUUCAGGGACGAAAGCAAUGACGGUACCUGAGGAGGAAGCCACGGCUAACUACGUGCCAGCAGCCGCGGUAAUACGUAGGUGGCAAGCGUUGUCCGGAAUUACUGGGUGUAAAGGGAGCGUAGGCGGGGCCGCAAGCCUCAUGUGAAAUCGACCGGCUCAACCGGUCGCUGCGUGAGGAACUGCGGUUCUUGAGUGGAGUAGAGGCAGGCGGAAUUCCUAGUGUAGCGGUGAAAUGCGUAGAUAUUAGGAGGAACACCAGUGGCGAAGGCGGCCUGCUGGGCUCUAGCUGACGCUGAGGCUCGAAAGCGUGGGUAGCAAACAGGAUUAGAUACCCUGGUACCA